rnacentral:rRNA from 1 species
AGUGAACGCUGGCGGUAGGCCUAACACAUGCAAGUCGAACGGCAGCACAGUAAGAGCUUGCUCUUACGGGUGGCGAGUGGCGGACGGGUGAGGAAUACAUCGGACUCUACUUUUUCGUGGGGGAUAACGUAGGGAAACUUAAUCUAAUACCGCAUACGACCUACGGGUGAAAGCAGUGGAUCUUCGGACCUUGCGCGAUUGAAUGAGCCGAUGUCGGAUUAGCUAGUUGGCGGGGUAAAGGCCCACCAAGGCGACGAUCCGUAGCUGGUCUGAGAGGAUGAUCAGCCACACUGGAACUGAGACACGGUCCAGACUCCUACGGGAGGCAGCAGUGGGGAAUAUUGGACAAUGGGCGCAAGCCUGAUCCAGCCAUACCGCGUGGGUGAAGAAGGCCUUCGGGUUGUAAAGCCCUUUUGUUGGGAAAGAAAAGCAGCAGGUUAAUACCCCGCUGUUCUGACGGUACCCAAAGAAUAAGCACCGGCUAACUUCGUG